CCCAUUUGAGGGGGAUACCAGUUGGAAACGACUGUUAAUACCGCAUAAUAUCUGUGGAUUAAAGGUGGCUUUCGGGCUGUCGCAGAUGGAUGAGCCUGCGUUGGAUUAGCUAGUUGGUGGGGUAAGGGCCCACCAAGGCUACGAUCCAUAGCUGAUUUGAGAGGAUGAUCAGCCACAUUGGGACUGAGACACGGCCCAAACUCCUACGGGAGGCAGCAGUGGGGAAUAUUGGACAAUGGGGGCAACCCUGAUCCAGCAAUGCCAUGUGUGUGAAGAAGGCCCUAGGGUUGUAAAGCACUUUAGUUGGGGAGGAAAGCCUCAAGGUUAAUAGCCUUGGGGAGGACGUUACCCAAAGAAUAAGCACCGGCUAACUCCGUGCCAGCAGCCGCGGUAAUACGGGGGGUGCAAGCGUUAAUCGGAAUUACUGGGCGUAAAGGGUCUGUAGGUGGUUUGUUAAGUCAGAUGUGAAAGCCCAGGGCUCAACCUUGGAACUGCAUUUGAUACUGGCAAACUAGAGUACGGUAGAGGAAUGGGGAAUUUCUGGUGUAGCGGUGAAAUGCGUAGAGAUCAGAAGGAACACCAAUGGCGAAGGCAACAUUCUGGACCGAUACUGACACUGAGGGACGAAAGCGUGGGGAUCAAACAGGAUUAGAUACCCUGGUAGUCCACGCUAUAAACGAUGAGUACUAGCUGUUGGAGUCGGUGUAAAGGCUCUAGUGGCGCAGCUAACGCGAUAAGUACUCCGCCUGGGGACUACGGCCGCAAGGCUAAAACUCAAAGGAAUUGACGGGGACCCGCACAAGCGGUGGAGCAUGUGGUUUAAUUCGAUGCAACGCGAAGAACCUUACCUGGUCUUGACAUCCUGCGAACUUUCUAGAGAUAGAUUGGUGCCUUCGGGAACGCAGUGACAGGUGCUGCACGGCUGUCGUCAGCUCGUGUUGUGAAAUGUUGGGUUAAGUCCCGCAACGAGCGCAACCCCUAUUGAUAGUUACCAUCAUUAGGUUGGGUACUCUAUUGAGACUGCCGCUGACAAGGCGGAGGAAGGUGGGGACGACGUCAAGUCAUCAUGGCCCUUACGACCAGGGCUACACACGUGCUACAAUGGGUAUUACAGAGGGCUGCGAAGGUGCGAGCUGGAGC
rnacentral:rRNA from 1 species